GGGGGGGGGGGGGGGGGGGGGGGGGGGGUGGGGGGCGGGCGGGCGGGCGGGGAGCUUGCUCCUCUGACGUUAGCGGCGGACGGGUGAGUGCCACGUGGAUAACCUCCCUAUAAGACUGGGCUCACUUCGGGAAACCGGCGCUACUACCGGCUAAUAUAUUGAACCGCAUGUUUCCAUAGUGAAAGACGGUUUUGCUGUCACUUCUAGCUGGAUCCGCGCCGCAUUAGCUAGUUGGUAAGGUAACGGCUUACCAAGGCAACGAUGCGUAGCCGACCUGAGAGGGUGAUCGGCCACAAUGGAACUGAGACACGGUCCAGACUCCUACGGGAGGCAGCAGUAGGGAAUCUUCCGCAAUGGGCGAAAGCCUGACGGAGCAACGCCGCGUGAGUGAUGAAGGUCUUCGGAUCGUAAAACUCUGUUAUUAGGGAAGAACAAAUGUGUAAGUAACUAUGCACGUCUUGACGGUACCUAAUCAGAAAGCCACGGCUAACUACGUG
rnacentral:rRNA from 1 species